rnacentral:rRNA from 1 species
CCUACGGGUGGCAGCAGUGGGGAAUAUUGCACAAUGGGGGAAACCCUGAUGCAGCAACGCCGCGUGAAGGAAGACGGUUUUCGGAUUGUAAACUUCUGUUCUUAGUGAAGAAUAAUGACGGUAGCUAAAGAGCAAGCCACGGCUAACUACGUGCCAGCAGCCGCGGUAAUACGGAGGGGGCAAGCGUUGACCGGAAUUACUGGGCGUAAAGGGAGCGCAGGCGGGAAGUCAAGUCAGCUGUGAAAGCCACGGGCUUAACUUGUAGACUGCAGUUGAGACUGGCUUUCUUGAGUGAAGUAGAGGGGGGUAGAAUGCCGGGUGUAGCGGUGAAAUGCGUAGAUAUUCGGAGGAAUACCGGUGGCGAAGGCGGCCAACUGGGCUUUAACUGACGCUGAGGUGCGAAAGUGUGGGGAGCAAACAGGAUUAGAUACCCCGGUAGUC